rnacentral:rRNA from 1 species
GCUCUACUACACACAUGUAGAGUGAUACCUGCUCCAUGGCUACAAAUAAACAAUAAUAGUAGUUAAAUAGCCGCGGUAACUCUGACCGUGAUAAAGUAGCAUAAUCACUCGUCAUUUAAUUGGUGACUAGAAUGAAUGGUUUUACGAAUUUCCAACUGUCUCAGUAAUAAAAUUAAUGAAAUUAAACCAAUAGUGAAGAUGCUAUUUAUAAAUUGUAAGACGAAAAGACCCUAUCGAGCUUUACUAAACGCUUAAAUAAAUAAAUACUCAAAAUAUUUUAGGACAAAAAUAUUUAAGCUAAUUAGUUUGGUUGGGGCGACCACCUCUAAAAAAGUAUCAGAGGAGAUCUAACGGUUAAUAUUAAUAUAAAAAAGCCUAACUGCAUAUAAAUACAUUAAUCAGUUACAACAAGUAGGAUAUAAUGACCCGUUGGGACUAUCUAAACACCUAACGAUUACAAAAAAAGUUACCGUAGGGAUAACAGGGUAAUAUUCUCGAAGAGUUCUUAUCGAUGAGAAUGUUUGCCACCUCGAUGUUGAAUUAUGAUAUCCUAAAGGUGCAAAAGCUUUUAAGGGUUG